GUUGUAUGAGUGGAGAAUAUGCUAUUUCUAAACACUGUAGUACAGUGUUUAUGAUCCCCUAAUAACUCAGCUUGCUCUCUUAGCCUGGCAGUAGUGUCCAAUCAAGAACAUACAUUCAUUUGUUCUGUGGGGGAGGUCUUUAGAAUAUAAUAUUUUCAUAUCAAUUACUCAGUAAAUGGCAGUCACUUUUCCACACCUGAGAGUUAAGUUACAUUUCCCUUUUUCUUUUUUUCCCAGGGUAUUCCUGGUCCGGUUGGGAAGAAUGGUCCCAAAGGAAGACAGGGAGUUGUUGGGGGUGUUGGUGAAAGGGGUUCUCCUGGUCCUGAUGGUGACCAGGUAAGAUCUACAUCCCUCCUCCUCCUCUUAACCCGUUGCCAAGUUUGUGGACUCUAUUCAAUCUCUAGUAAAAACUCAGACCCUCCAGGAAGUAUUUAGUGCAGCCCUGCUUUAGAUGCCCUAUGUCUUUUGAUAGAUUAGCUUUGCUGAGCUGGGCUGAACUGGGCUGAGCUGAGAAAUGUAAUGUGUAUCCUGCUGUAGACAGAGGAGUUGUUGUCAUUUGGCCUCAGAAAUGCUAGGGAUGACUCUAUACAACCUCUGUAUGGUUUAGAUUAGAACACUCUCUGCACUGUCUAUGUUUCUGGAUCUGUCAUUGAGUAUGCUUACACGCACACAAUAAUAUGAUUAGUCAGAUUAAUAUAAUAGAUUUAUUUAAACGUUUACAUGCUUUGCAAGACAAAUUAUUCCUUAAUCCUGUUUACGUGGACACAUCUGAAAUCAGGCUACUGAUGGGACUUUCAUAAAUGCAGAAAAUAACCAAUCAAAAUAGACAUUCUACCACAGUGACCAUGUUAUUUUUGUGAACGCUAUUUGAUUCUGAGUUCGGACAUAUAAAGUUCAUAUGUGAAAAUUAUUUCUAAGAUGCAUACUUUCAGUUGUUCCAAGCUCACUUCACUUGAGCAAAAUAAGGAAGCUUGGAUCUAACUUAGCCCAUCUGUAAAUAGCCCAUCCAACCAACUACCUACCUCAUCCCCAUAUUUGUUUUUGUUUUUCUGCUCUUUUACACACCAGUAUUUCUACUUGCACAUCCUCAUCUGCACAUAUCACUCCAGUGUAAAUUGCUAAAUUGUAAUUACUUCGGCACUAUUGGCCUAUUUAUUGCCUUACCUCCUUACUUCAUUUGCACACAUUGUAUACAGAUUUUUCUAUUGUGUUAUUGACUGUAUGAUUGUUUAUUCCAUGUGUAACUCUGUGUUGUUUUUGUCGCACUGCUUUGCUUUAUCUUGGCCAGGUCACAGUUUUAAAUCAGGACUUGUUCUCAACUGGCCACCUGGUUAAAUAAAGGUGAAAUUAAAAAUAAAAGUGACAACCGAGAUAACACUAAUGUGACGUAUUCAAAACACUACUAUCAGAACCUAUUUCAGUGUGAAGUUAAGAUGUUGUUAUACUGAGAUAACACUAAUGUGACGUAUUCAAAACACUAUCAGAACCUAUUUCAGUGUGAAGUUAAGAUGUUGUUAUACUGAGAUAACACUAAUGUGACGUAUUCAAAACACUACUAUCAGAACCUAUUUCAGUGUGAAGUUAAGAUGUUGUUAUACUGAGAUAACACUAAUGUGACGUAUUCAAAACACUACUAUCAGAACCUAUUUCAGUGUGAAGUUAAGAUGUUGUUAUACUGAGAUAACACUAAUGUGACGUAUUCAAAACACUACUAUCAGAACCUAUUUCAGUGUGAAGUUAAGAUGUUGUUAUACUGAGAUAACACUAAUGUGACGUAUUCAAAACACUA
rnacentral:lncRNA from 13 species